rnacentral:rRNA from 1 species
GCAUAUCAAUAAGCGGAGGAAAAGAAACCAACAGGGAUUGCCCUAGUAACGGCGAGUGAAGCGGCAACAGCUCAAAUUUGAAAUCUGGCUUCGGCCCGAGUUGUAAUUUGCAGAGGAAGCUUUAGGCGCGGCACUUUCUGAGUCCCCUGGAACGGGGCGCCAUAGAGGGUGAGAGCCCCGUAUAGUUAGAUGCCUAGCCUGUGUAAAGCUCCUUCGACGAGUCGAGUAGUUUGGGAAUGCUGCUCAAAAUGGGAGGUAAAUUUCUUCUAAAGCUAAAUACCGGCCAGAGACCGAUAGCGCACAAGUAGAGUGAUCGAAAGAUGAAAAGCACUUUGAAAAGAGGGUUAAAUAGCACGUGAAAUUGUUGAAAGGGAAGCGCUUGUGACCAGACUUGCGCCGGGCAGAUCAUCCGGUGUUCUCACCGGUGCACUCUGCCCGGCUCAGGCCAGCAUCGGUUCUCGCGGGGGGAUAAAGGCCCUGGGAACGUAGCUCCUCCGGGAGUGUUAUAGCCCGGGGCGUAAUGCCCUCGCGGGGACCGAGGUUCGCGCAUCUGCAAGGAUGCUGGCGUAAUGGUCAUCAGCGACCCGUCUUGAAACACGGACCAAGGAGUCAAGGUUUUGCGCGAGUGUUUGGGUGUAAAACCCGCACGCGUAAUGAAAGUGAACGUAGGUGAGAGCUUCGGCGCAUCAUCGACCGAUCCUGAUGUUUUCGGAUGGAUUUGAGUAGGAGCGUUAAGCCUUGGACCCGAAAGAUGGUGAACUAUGCUUGGAUAGGGUGAAGCCAGAGGAAACUCUGGUGGAGGCUCGCAGCGGUUCUGACGUGCAAAUCGAUCGUCAAAUCUGAGCAUGGGGGCGAAAGAC